UUCAGUAUAUUUGUAAUUGUUUGUAAUCGUACAGAAUAUUUUCAACAUUAUGUGUCCGAUAAAAUUAGAAACGAUGCUUUUAUCGACAAAAUCUUUAUCAGUUGCUUCAAAGCUGUGAUAAAAUGUAAUUACAGUAAGUGGAAAUACAGAAAUAAUCGUGAGCGAUUGUUUCAGCGUAAAAUGCAACGUCGAACGUGGGACGAGUGUUUGUCUAGGAAUUUUAACUUGAUUUGAAGUUUGAUUAAAUUUUGACGCGACACGAGGAUUUCCACAAAUAAAGAACUUCCAGCUAAACACAUUUGUACGAAUAAUAGUCAAUGAGAAAAAUGUUCAAGUUUCUGAUAACCUUAGGUGUGGGAGUCUAUGCUGGUAUAUACAUAAGUCAAAAUUAUGAGGUAUGU